rnacentral:rRNA from 1 species
UGGGGAAUCUUGGACAAUGGGGGCAACCCUGAUCCAGCCAUGCCGCGUGAGUGAUGAAGGCCUUAGGGUCGUAAAGCUCUUUCGCCUGUGAAGAUAAUGACGGUAGCAGGUAAAGAAACCCCGGCUAACUCCGUGCCAGCAGCCGCGGUAAUACGAAGGGGGCUAGCGUUGUUCGGAUUUACUGGGCGUAAAGCGCACGUAGGCGGAUCGUUAAGUGAGGGGUGAAAUCCCAGGGCUCAACCCUGGAACUGCCUCUCAUACUGGCGAUCUGGAGUUCGAGAGAGGUGAGUGGAAUUCCGAGUGUAGAGGUGAAAUUCGUAGAUAUUCGGAGGAACACCAGUGGCGAAGGCGGCUCACUGGCUCGAUACUGACGCUGAGGUGCGAAAGUGUGGGGAGCAAACAGGAUUAGAUACCCUGGUAGUCCACACCGUAAACGAUGAAUG